AUCUUCCUUCACGGAUCUCUUUUGCUGUGGGCAGAGCCUGCCGGGAAAGCUAGGAAUAGGAGGUUGUUUGGACAGACACACUACUGGGGAGCUGGAGAGAGGGGUGGAACUCCUCUUCUCUGCUGAGCUCGGGGUGGUGGGAGUGGGGUUGGGCAGGGGGGAGAUAUCUGGGCAGCUGGGGCAAAGGAAAGCCGGGUGGCCAGUUACAUCCCGCUGUGACUGAUCCCCUGUGUGUUCUUGCAGGUGAGAAUGGGGACUUUGAUUUGGCUGAUGCUCUCGAUGACCCCAAGCCCACCAAGAAGCCAAGCUCAGAUAUCUACCCAAGGACAAAGCCACCGCCUCCUCGCCCGCAGCCUGGUAACAGUGGAGGCUUCCUGAGCGACUCGGACCUCAUCGACGGCGGCCGCUACCCGCCCAGGCGUCCCGCAGGUACGUGCGGGCUUCCAUGACUCCGCCCCAGCCCCUGCGAGGAAGGUGGUGGGCUGUGGACUCUCCCCUCC
rnacentral:lncRNA from 1 species